rnacentral:rRNA from 1 species
GACGAACGCUGGCGGCGUGCUUAACACAUGCAAGUCGAACGGAAAGGCCCUGCUUUUGUGGGGUGCUCGAGUGGCGAACGGGUGAGUAACACGUGAGUAACCUGCCCUUGACUUUGGGAUAACUUCAGGAAACUGGGGCUAAUACCGGAUAGGAGCUCCUGCUGCAUGGUGGGGGUUGGAAAGUUUCGGCGGUUGGGGAUGGACUCGCGGCUUAUCAGCUUGUUGGUGGGGUAGUGGCUUACCAAGGCUUUGACGGGUAGCCGGCCUGAGAGGGUGACCGGCCACAGUGGGACUGAGAAACGGCCAAGACGCAUACGGGAGGCAGCAGUGGGGAAUAUUGCAAAAUGGGCGGAAGCCUGAUGCAGCAACGCCGCGUGCGGGAUGACGGCCUUCGGGUUGUAAACCGUUUUCGCCUGUGACGAAGCGUGAGUGACGGUAAUGGGUAAAGAAGCACCGGCUAACUACGUG